UACAGAGGGUGCGAGCGUUAAUCGGAAUUACUGGGCGUAAAGCGCACGUAGUCGGCUUUGCAAGUCGGUUGUGAAAUCCCCGGGCUCAACCUGGGAACUGCAUCCGAGACUGCAUUGCUAGAGUAUGGGAGAGGAAAGCGGAAUUUCUGGUGUAGCAGUGAAAUGCGUAGAUAUCGGGAGGAACAUCAGUGGCGAAGGCGGCUGCCUGGCCCAAUACUGACACUCAGGUGCGACAGCGUGGGGAGCAAACAGG
rnacentral:rRNA from 1 species